rnacentral:rRNA from 2 species
CAUCCUCCAAGGCUAAAUACUCCUGACUGACCGAUAGUGAACCAGUACCGUGAGGGAAAGGCGAAAAGAACCCCGGCGAGGGGAGUGAAAAAGAACCUGAAACCGUGUACGUACAAGCAGUGGGAGCCCCACCACUAAGCCAGUGGUGAACUCCACAUCCGCAUCCUUUGCUGAGGAUACGGUUAACGGAGCGAAAGCGACGUUCAACCGCAAAACAAGCAGAGGGGGCUUAGUGGUGGGGUGACUGCGUACCUUUUGUAUAAUGGGUCAGCGACUUAUAUUCUGUAGCAAGGUUAACCGUAUAGGGGAGCCGGAGGGAAACCGAGUCUUAACCGGGCGUUAAGUUGCAGGGUAUAGACCCGAAACC